AUUGAACGCUGGCGGCAGGCCUAACACAUGCAAGUCGCACGAGUGGCGGACGGGUGAGUAAUGUCUGGGAAACUGCCUGAUGGAGGGGGAUAACUACUGGAAACGGUAGCUAAUACCGCAUACCAUCGGAUGUGCCAAGAGGGGAUUAGCUAGUAGGUGGGGUAAAGGUUCACCUCGGCGACGAUCCCUAGCUGGUCUGAGAGGAUGACCAGCCAAACUGGAAAGGAGUCACGGUCCAGACUCCUACGGGAGGCAGCAGUGGGGAAUAUGGCACAAUGGGCGCAAGCCUGAUGCAGCCAUGCCGCGUGUAUGAAGAAGGCCUUCGGGUUGUAAAGGACUUUCAGCGGGGAGGCGUUACCCGCAGAAGAAGCACCGGCUAACUCCGUGCCAGCAGCCGCGGUAAUUC
rnacentral:rRNA from 1 species